UACGUAGGGCGCAAGCGUUGUCCGGAAUUAUUGGGCGUAAAGAGCUCGUAGGUGGUUUGUUACGUCUGCUGUGAAAACCUAGGGCUUAACCCUGGGCCUGCAGUGGAUACGGGCAGACUAGAGGUAGGUAGGGGAGAAUGGAAUUCCCGGUGUAGCGGUGAAAUGCGCAGAUAUCGGGAGGAACACCGGUGGCGAAGGCGGGUCUCUGGGCCGUAACUGACGCUGAGGAGCGAAAGCGUGGGGAGCGAACAGG
rnacentral:rRNA from 1 species